rnacentral:rRNA from 1 species
GAUGAACGCUGGCGGCGUGCCUAAUACAUGCAAGUCGAGCGAACAGACGAGGAGCUUGCUCCUCUGACGUUAGCGGCGGACGGGUGAGUAACACGUGGAUAACCUACCUAUAAGACUGGGAUAACUUCGGGAAACCGGAGCUAAUACCGGAUAAUAUAUUGAACCGUAUGGUUCAAUAGUGAAAGACGGUUUUGCUGUCACUUAUAGAUGGAUCCGCGCCGCAUUAGCUAGUUGGUAAGGUAACGGCUUACCAAGGCAACGAUGCGUAGCCGACCUGAGAGGGUGAUAGGCCACACUAGAACUGAGACACGGUCCAGAAUCCUACGGGAGGCAGCAGUAGGGAAUCUUCCGCAAUGGGCGAAAGCCUGACGGAGCAACGCCGCGUGAGUGAUGAAGGUCUUCGGAUCGUAAAACUCUGUUAUUAGGGAAGAACAAAUGUGUAAGUAACUAUGCACGUCUUGACGGUACCUAAUCAGAAAGCCACGGCUAACUACGUG